rnacentral:pre_miRNA from 1 species
AUGUAGAGCAAUCUCUGUCUAAGUAGGGGUAAAUUACUCUAAAAAAGAAAAAAAAAAAGAUCCUAGAUAGUUUUCCCUUCAAGUAAAGCGUCUUGU